rnacentral:rRNA from 1 species
AUGAAGCAAUCAUCUACAAGAUUCGGUGCUGUGACCGCCUUAAGCCGAGCCAAAGCAUGGCUACCAGAGCUAGACCCGGCUGAUAUAUCUACCGGGUAUCCAAGCGUGAAAGAAGAUGGCACUCCCUUUGAGAAGAAAGACGUUGCCACCUGCGUGAAGGAGAUACGUCCCCUGGCCAGUCUGAUUGCCAAUGAAACAGAUCUGUCCAGAUAUCAACCGGCUUAUGACAUGGAAAAUCAGAAGCUGCCUACACCGUCUUAUAAAAUGAUGGAUCUAAUUCCCCUAAUUUGUAAGCACACUUUUGCUCCUGAAGUUGACCCGUCCGAGCUUAUUGAUGGUGAAGCUGAAUUUCAAGCCUUAAAUAUCAUUGACUGGUCAUCACUAACCUUCCAGGAAGCAGAAGAGGAUGAAGAAGUGGAGAAGGGUGAUCUGGAAGCUUCAAGCCAUCAGAGCCAAGAAGAUUGA